rnacentral:misc_RNA from 1 species
GAUGAAGAACGCAGCGAAAUGCGAUAAGUAAUGUGAAUUGCAGAAUUCCGUGAAUCAUCGAAUCUUUGAACGCACAUUGCGCCCCCUGGCAUUCCGGGGGGCAUGCCUGUCCGAGCGUCAUUUCUGCCCUCCAGCCCGGCUGGGUGUUGGGCGCUGUCCCCCCGGGGACACGCCCCAAAGGCAGUGGCGGCGCCGCGUCGGGUCCUCGAGCGUAUGGGGCUUUGUCACCCGCUCGGGACGGACUCGUCGGCGCUGGUCUUCCUCCAGGCGACCCUUCGGGGCUCGUCUUCCUUCGGUUGACCUCGGAUCAGGUAGGACUACCCGCUGAACUUAAGCAUAUCAAUAAGCGGAGGA